AGUUUUUCCGUGAUGAUUUACGAUUUUACCUUGGGACACCUAUGAUAGAACUGUGAUUAGUGUAAAGUUAUACUUAGCUGAUUGAA
rnacentral:snoRNA from 1 species